GGGGAUGUAAAGGUUUCGACAGGGAUGAUGAGCCUUGGUAAGCGGGUAGUGGUGAGGCACCACUUUAAAAGCUUCAGAUUAAAUAAUAAACGACGGUAAUAAAGUUGUUAUGGCAGCCUAAGGGCUGUCUGUCUUCCCAUUGAACACCACGGCUUUGGGAUUGGCAUCAUUUUUGUGGUAAAUGUGAACAGCCUACGCCUUUAAGCUGUCACACAUUAAAGGCUACCUGAUUAUACAGUUGGUUGUUGGACUGUAUAUGAGGGGAAUUCUGAGCAACAACUAAACUCGUAGAAAGCCCUGGUAAGUUGUUUUUGGACGCGGGUUCGAUUCCCGCCAUCUCCACCA
rnacentral:tmRNA from 1 species